rnacentral:lncRNA from 1 species
AUUAUAGCAACAAAAUGGUCAGAUUGCAAGGUCAAGAGUAGGGGAAGCCUCUGCCCUGGAAAAUUCAGGGUAGAGGGUUGUCAAAAGAGAGAGUUGUCAGCCAUGCAAGGCAGCAGGUAGGGACUGGGGAACGCUGGAAGAACCUGGAGCCGCUUGUCCUGGUCCUGAAGCACACCCAGAAGCAGGUUGUGUUCCAAAAUACUAACAGGUGUUUCAAAUGUGCUAAAGACUUGACCUAUAUCGAAGUCUGGGUUUGGAAUGCUUCCUGAUGGCGCACUUUCAAGGCUUGGAACUAAUGGGAUCUGGUGGCAACUCAGAGGUGUGUGUCUGCAAGAGCUUUUCAGUCUCUUCGGUAUGCCCUUUAAGAGCCUGUGCUGUUGGUGUUCAGGGAAUCUUAUGAAAGAAGGGGGAGAUAGAAAGACCUGGAAGGGUCUGGAGUUACACAAGGAGAACAACAGAACCAAAAUAUCUAGGCCCACGUGCCUUUUCUGA